rnacentral:rRNA from 1 species
UGGGGAAUAUUGCACAAUGGGCGCAAGCCUGAUGCAGCCAUGCCGCGUGUAUGAAGAAGGCCUUCGGGUUGUAAAGUACUUUCAGUCGGGAGGAAGGUGGUAAGGUUAAUAACCUUAUCAAUUGACGUUACCGACAGAAGAAGCACCGGCUAACUCCGUGCCAGCAGCCGCGGUAAUACGGAGGGUGCAAGCGUUAAUCGGAAUUACUGGGCGUAAAGCGCACGCAGGCGGUCUGUCAAGUCGGAUGUGAAAUCCCCGGGCUCAACCUGGGAACUGCAUUCGAAACUGGCAGGCUAGAGUCUUGUAGAGGGGGGUAGAAUUCCAGGUGUAGCGAUGAAAUGCGUAGAGAUCUGGAGGAAUACCGGUGGCGAAGGCGGCCCCCUGGACAAAGACUGACGCUCAGGUGCGAAAGCGUGGGGAGCAAACAGG